rnacentral:rRNA from 1 species
CCAAUAGCGUAUAUUAAAGUUGUUGCAGUUAAAAAGCUCGUAGUUGAAUUUCGGGGUUCUACCGUUGGUCGGGCAAUUGUCUGUACUGGCGUGUAGAAUUUCUACCUUCUGGGGAACCAUCAUGUUAUUAAUUUAGCGUGGUGGGAAACCAGGACCUUUACCUUGAAAAAAUUAGAGUGUUCAAAGCAGGCUUACGUCUGAAUACAUUAGCAUGGAAUAAUAAAAUAGGACGGUGGUCCUGUUUUGUUGGUUUCUGAAUCACCGUAAUGAUUAAUAGGGAUAGUUGGGGGCAUUAGUAUUCAAUUGUCAGAGGUGAAAUUCUUGGAUUUAUUGAAGACUAACUUCUGCGAAAGCAUUUGCCAAGGAUGUUUUCAUUAAUCAAGAACGAAAGUUAGGGGAUCGAAGACGAUCAGAUACCGUCGUAGUCUUAACCAUAAACUAUGCCGACUAGGGAUCGGACGAUGUUAAUUUUUCUUGACUCGUUCGGCGCCUUACG